rnacentral:rRNA from 1 species
AUUGAACGCUGGCGGCAGGCCUAACACAUGCAAGUCGAGCGGAUGAAGGGAGCUUGCUCCUGGAUUCAGCGGCGGACGGGUGAGUAAUGCCUAGGAAUCUGCCUGGGAGUGGGGGAUAACGUCCGGAAACGGGCGCUAAUACCGCAUACGUCCUGAGGGAGAAAGUGGGGGAUCUUCGGACCUCACGCUAUCAGAUGAGCCUAGGUCGGAUUAGCUAGUUGGUGGGGUAAAGGCCUACCAAGGCGACGAUCCGUAACUGGUCUGAGAGGAUGAUCAGUCACACUGGAACUGAGACACGGUCCAGACUCCUACGGGAGGCAGCAGUGGGGAAUAUUGGACGAUGGGCGAAAGCCUGAUCCAGCCAUGCCGCGUGUGUGAAGAAGGUCUUCGGAUUGUAAAGCACUUUAAGUUGGGAGGAAGGGCAGUAAGUUAAUACCUUGCUGUUUUGACGUUACCAACAGAAUAAGCACCGGCUAACUUCGUG